rnacentral:rRNA from 1 species
ACGGGGCCGCACAAGCGAGGACAUGUGGUUUAAUUCGAUGAUACGCGAGGAACCUUACCUGGGCUUAAAUGUAGAGUGCAUGAGGUAGAAAUACUUCUUCCCUUCGGGGCUCUUUGCAAGGUGCUGCAUGGUUGUCGUCAGCUCGUGCCGUGAGGUGUCGGGUUAAGUCCCAUAACGAGCGCAACCCUUAUCGUUAGUUGCCAGCGGGUAAUGCCGGGGACUCUAGCGAAACUGCCGGUGUAAACCGAGAGGAAGGUGGGGAUGACGUCAAAUCAGCACGGCCCUUAUGUCCAGGGCUACACACGUGUUACAAUGGCCGGUACAGAGGGCAGCUACCUGGAGACAGGAUGCGAAUCUCGAAAACCGGUCUCAGUUCGGAUCGAAGUCUGCAACUCGACUUCGUGAAGCUGGAUUCGCUAGUAAUCGCGCAUCAGCUAUGGCGCGGUGAAUACGUUCCCGGGCCUU